AGAGUUUGAUCAUGGCUCAGGAUGAACGCUAGCUACAGGCUUAACACAUGCAAGUCGAGGGGCAGCAUUGGAGUAGCAAUACUCAGAUGGCGACCGGCGCACGGGUGAGUAACACGUAUCCAACCUGCCGCUUACUCGGGGAUAGCCUUUACGAAAGAAAGAUUAAUACCCGGAUGGUAUAAAGAGUUCGCAUGUUCUCUUUAUUAAAGAAUUUCGGUAAGCGAUGGGGAUGCGUUCCAUUAGAUAGUUGGCGGGGUAACGGCCCACCAAGUCUACGAUGGAUAGGGGUUCUGAGAGGAAGGUCCCCCACAUUGGAACUGAGACACGGUCCAAACUCCUACGGGAGGCAGCAGUGAGGAAUAGUUGGUCAAUGGACGCAAGUCUGAACCAGCCAAGUAGCGUGAAGGAUGACUGCCCUAUGGGUUGUAAACUUCUUUUAUAAGGGAAUAAAGUGAGGGACGUGUCCCUUUUUGUAUGUACCUUAUGAAUAAGGAUCGGCUAACUCCGUGCCAGCAGCUGC
rnacentral:rRNA from 1 species